GGCAGCAGUGGGGAAUAUUGCACAAUGGGGGAAACCCUGAUGCAGCGACGCCGCGUGAGCGAUGAAGUAUUUCGGUAUGUAAAGCUCUAUCAGCAGGGAAGAAGAUGACGGUACCUGACUAAGAAGCCCCGGCUAACUACGUGCCAGCAGCCGCGGUAAUACGUAGGGGGCAAGCGUUAUCCGGAUUUACUGGGUGUAAAGGGAGCGUAGACGGCGGUGCAAGCCAGAUGUGAAAGCCCGGGGCUCAACCCCGGGACUGCAUUUGGAACUGUAUGGCUGGAGUGUCGGAGAGGCAGGCGGAAUUCCUAGUGUAGCGGUGAAAUGCGUAGAUAUUAGGAGGAACACCAGUGGCGAAGGCGGCCUGCUGGACGAUGACUGACGUUGAGGCUCGAAAGCGUGGGGAGCAAACAGGAUUAGAUACCCUGGUAGUCCACGCCGUAAACGAUGACUACUAGGUGUCGGGCAGCAAAGCUGUUCG
rnacentral:rRNA from 1 species